ensembl:rRNA 5S_rRNA 5S ribosomal RNA
GUCUACGGUCAGAACACCCCGAGCGCGCCCCAUCUCAGCUGGCCUCGGAAGCUAAGGAGGGUCGGGCCUGGUUAGUACCCAGAUGGGACAGGGCCCAGAUGCCAGUAGGUGACUGUCUGCC